CUAGGGGAGGCAGCAGUGGGGAAUAUUGGUCAAUGGGCGGAAGCCUGAACCAGCCAAGUAGCGUGCAGGAUGACGGCCCUAUGGGUUGUAAACUGCUUUUAUACAGGAAUAAAGUUAGCCACGUGUGGUUAUUUGUAGGUACUGUAUGAAUAAGGACCGGCUAAUUCCGUGCCAGCAGCCGCGGUAA
rnacentral:rRNA from 1 species